UACGUAGGGUGCGAGCGUUGUCCGGAAUUAUUGGGCGUAAAGAGCUCGUAGGCGGUCUGUCGCGUCUGCUGUGAAAACCCGAGGCUCAACCUCGGGCCUGCAGUGGGUACGGGCAGACUAGAGUGCGGUAGGGGAGAAUGGAAUUCCUGGUGUAGCGGUGAAAUGCGCAGAUAUCAGGAGGAACACCGAUGGCGAAGGCAGGUCUCUGGGCCACUACUGACGCUGAGAAGCGAAAGCGUGGGGAGCGAACAGG
rnacentral:rRNA from 1 species